GUCUCCUGCACGUAUCAAAACCCAUUAACAAACAGCCACAAUCCGUGCCCUGGGGAAGCAGAGCAAGCUGCUUUUCUUUUUCUUGGCUGGCUCAGCCCGUGCUGGAGUUGUGGGACUUUUCAUCUGUGCACUCAAGAGGAGCGGAGUAAAAGUAGGAUGAUAAAUUGUGGAAAAAAAAGAAACUCGCUGGCUUUGCUCAGAACCUCUGGCCUGCAGCUCCUCCUCUCGCUGUACUCCUUCCAGCACCCCAGAAUUCCCUGCCUCCCUGCAUGUUAUGGCACCUUUGGGAUGUGUUAGUCAUAAGCAUGAAGCUACUGGUGCUUUGCAGGGAUAUUUUCACUCUGGCUCUGGCAGGAGAGCUCUGACACAGCCCUGCUGUCGGCAGCGCUCGCUCAACGACGCCUCCUGAGAUCCCAAAACUCCAAAAAAAAAAGGGGGAAACGGCCAAUUUUCAUUUCCUCAGGGAACAAUGAGAAAAUUUGUCUUUCUGAGCCUAUCUCCUUCUGAAAUGAGCUCCAGGAGUAGUCACAACCUGCCAUAAAAAUGCCAUGUGCAAGAGAAUAUAUUUAAUAUGGGGCAGGCAGAAUGGAACGAUACGAUCUGUUUGGGGUUUGAAGCACCAAGGUUCUGACUCUGCUCCUUGGGAACCUUCCUCAUCCAGAUCACAGGGAUUUCCAAAAUUGCAGCAUUCCCUCAAAGCUGAAAAUAAAUCUCCAGAAAUCUCUUGGAAAACUGAAGAUGAAUCUCCAAAAACCUCCUCCAAAGCUGAUGAUCACUACCAUUACUGAGCGCUGAGGAAUGGAUCCCUUUUCCAAGAGGAGCCUGGGGUGGGCUGGAACCCCCUGAGCUGAGCUCAGAUUCAGUGCCAGGGGCAGUGCCAGCUCUGGGCUGCUGCAGGAGCCAGGUGAACGAGCCUGCAAGGGAAUGAUCGAGGCAGCUGCAAGGGAUAAAUUUCACCUCCUCAGUCCUCAAGGAGAAAACAACUUUGAUUGCCCUUUGAGUCCUCCUGUCUCGGGUUUUGGUUGUUAA
rnacentral:lncRNA from 1 species